rnacentral:rRNA from 1 species
ACGUAGGGUGCGAGCGUUAAUCGGAAUUACUGGGCGUAAAGCGUGCGCAGGCGGUUCGCUAAGCCAGGUGUGAAAUCCCCGGGCUUAACCUGGGAACUGCAUUUGGAACUGGCAGGCUAGAGUGUGGUAGAGGGGGGUAGAAUUCCAGGUGUAGCGGUGAAAUGCGUAGAGAUGUGAAGGAAUACCGAUGGCGAAGGCAGCCACCUGGGCCAAUACUGACGCUCAUGUACGAAAGCGUGGGGAGCAAACAG